AUGCGUACUCUAAGACUCUUGCACGGUCCACCUCGCCUUCGGGCAAGAAGGUUUGACCGAACUAAGUUGAUGCAUACUCUAAGCCUCUCGCACAGUCCACAUCACCUCCAGGAAAGAAGGUUUGACCGGACUAAGUUGAUGCAUAUUCUAAGUCUCUCGCACGGUCCACCUCGCCUUCGGGCAAGAAGGUUUGAUCAGACUAAGUCGAUGUGUACUAUAAGCCUCUUGCACGGUCCACCUCGCCUCCGGGCAAGAAGGUUUGACGACAUUAAGUCGAUGCGUAUUCUAAGCCUCUACACGGUUGUUGGCUGA